GAACACGUCGCGGGAGAGCCCCGGUGCGCACGCAGUGCGAGCACCGGGCACCGAAGGAGCAAGCUCCCCGCCAAUCUCUCAGGUACGCGUACCGCGACGGACUG
rfam:Frigoribacterium sp. Leaf172 contig_1, whole genome shotgun sequence.